AAACAACCGUGACAACUGACCCAGAGAGAGACAAACAGAGCAAAAGAAAGACAAACAGAAAGCUUCUUCUUCUUUGUCAGUGAAGUUCCUUCCUGCUCCAAGCCUUGGCUAGGUCCUGAAGCAUCAGCGGGUGGAUUCUGAGCAUGGUCGUGUCAGUGGCCCAGAUGCAGAGACAGAGGAUAAGGGGUGAGAUAAUGACUCUACCUGACCCAGCAAGGGGAGGGGGGCGAGCGUCUGAGGUGGAUUCCAGCAAGGCAUCACGGGGCUGAGACCCUCUUUCCCCCAGGGCGUGGGGUUCUGCCUCGGCGCCCCCUCCAGAGAACCCCCUGGCCCCUCUGGUCCUGGCAUUCGUGUGUCCAGAAGGGGUGCCCACCUGAACCGUCAGCACCGAGUUUGUAGUGAACAGGAGGAGAAGGAUUAAGGCUGCAGUGGAAGACAGAUCUGCACGUUCCAGUGACUGUUCUGAAGCUUCGUGGCCUCGAAAGGCGGCCUUGCUCUUCAAGCUUCUUCCCGCAUCCCGGCCAGCGCUCACUCCUGGCUUCACCUGGACUUGAGUCCCCUUCAUCCUGUGUGGCCCUCCAAGACCGUGCUCCUGCUCAGCACAACUUGUCCCUGAGACCCAGUAGAAGGUGUGCCCAGGGAGGCCCCUGCUGUUCUGGUGCAGCAGCCCUCUGCCCUGUGUGUGCGUCCUGGCAUAGCAGGUCUCAGCCGCUAGGAGACGAGUGAUCGCAAUCACCGCUGGCAGGGGUGCUGCUGUGUUCUCGUGGCUUUUUGCAAUUUGCCAUCUGUAGGAGAGAGAUUGAUUUUUAAAAAUAAACAGGCUUUGUGUAAAAUGUAUACAUAUGUAUGGUCCCAUUAA
rnacentral:lncRNA from 1 species